AACGAACGCUGGCGGCAUGCCUAACACAUGCAAGUCGAACGAGACCUUCGGGUCUAGUGGCGCACGGGUGCGUAACGCGUGGGAACCUGCCCUUAGGUUCGGAAUAACUCCCCGAAAGGGGUGCUAAUACCGGAUAAUGUCCUCGGACCAAAGAUUUAUCGCCUUUGGAUGGGCCCGCGUUGGAUUAGCUAGUUGGUAGGGUAAAAGCCUACCACGGCGACGAUCCAUAGCUGGUCUGAGAGGAUGAUCAGCCACACUGGGACUGAGACACGGCCCAGACUCCUACGGGAGGCAGCAGUGGGGAAUAUUGGACAAUGGGCGAAAGCCUGAUCCAGCAAGGCCGCGUGAGUGAUGAAGGCCUUAGGGUUGUAAAGCUCUUUUACCCGGGAUGAUAAUGACAGUACCGGGAGAAUAAGCUCCGGCUAACUCCGUG
rnacentral:rRNA from 1 species